rnacentral:rRNA from 1 species
UACGUAGGGACCGAGCGUUGUCCGGAAUCAUUGGGCGUAAAGAGCGUGUAGGCGGCUAUUUAAGUCCUGCGUGAAAUCCUGCGGCUCAACCGCAGACGGUCGUGGGAAACUGGAUGGCUAGAGUGCGGGAGAGGAGAGUGGAAUUCCCGGUGUAGCGGUGAAAUGCGCAGAUAUCGGGAAGAACACCCGUGGCGAAGGCGGCUCUCUGGAACGCAACUGACGCUGAGACACGAAAGCGUGGGUAGCAAACAGG